rnacentral:rRNA from 1 species
GACGAACGCUGGCGGCGUGCCUAAUACAUGCAAGUCGAGCGGAUGACGGAGGAGCUUGCUCCUCCUGAUUCAGCGGCGGACGGGUGAGUAACACGUGGGCAACCUGCCCUGUAGAUUGGGAUAACUACGGGAAACCGGGGCUAAUACCGAAUAAUCCUUCGGACCUCAUGGUCCGAUGUUGAAAGACGGCAUCUCGCUGUCACUACAGGAUGGGCCCGCGGCGCAUUAGCUAGUUGGUGAGGUAACGGCUCACCAAGGCCACGAUGCGUAGCCGACCUGAGAGGGCGAUCGGCCACACUGGGACUGAGACACGGCCCAGACUCCUACGGGAGGCAGCAGUAGGGAAUCUUCCACAAUGGACGAAAGUCUGAUGGAGCAACGCCGCGUGAGUGAAGAAGGUUCUCGGACCGUAAAACUCUGUUGUGAGGGAAGAACAAGUACCGGAGUAACUGCCGGUGCCUUGACGGUACCUCAUUAGAAAGCCACGGCUAACUACGUGCCAGCCGCCGCCGUAA